rnacentral:rRNA from 1 species
CCUACGGGAGGCAGCAGUGAGGAAUAUUGGUCAAUGGGCGGGAGUCUGAACCAGCCAAGCCGCGUGAGGGAAGAAGGCACAGCGUAUUGUAAACUUCUUUUGUCAGGGAAUAAAGGCGGGGACUAGUCCCCGGAUGCGGGUACUUGAAGAAAAAGGAUCGGCUAACUCCGUGCCAGCAGCCGCGGUAAUACGGAGGAUGCGAGCGUUAUCCGGAUUUAUUGGGUUUAAAGGGUGCGUAGACGGGCUGUUAAGUCAGUGGUGAAAGUUUGGGGCUCAACCGUAAGAGUGCAUUUGAUACUGGCAGUCUUGAGUACAGUAGAGGUAGGCGGAAUGCGUGGUGUAGCGGUGAAAUGCUUAGAUAUCGCGAAGAACCCCGAUUGCGAAGGCAGCUUACGAAACUGUGACGGACACUGAGGCUCGAAAGUGUGGGUAUCAAACAGGAUUAGAUACCCGGGUAGUC